rnacentral:rRNA from 1 species
CGCGGCCUAUCAGCUUGUUGGUGGGGUGAUGGCCUACCAAGGCGACGACGGGUAGCCGGCCUGAGAGGGUGUCCGGCCACACUGGGACUGAGAUACGGCCCAGACUCCUACGGGAGGCAGCAGUGGGGAAUAUUGCACAAUGGGCGCAAGCCUGAUGCAGCGACGCCGCGUGGGGGAUGACGGCCUUCGGGUUGUAAACCUCUUUCACCAUCGACGAAGGCCCGCUUUUGGUGGGUUGACGGUAGGUGGAGAAGAAGCACCGGCCAACUACGUGCCAGCAGCCGCGGUAAUACGUAGGGUGCGAGCGUUGUCCGGAAUUACUGGGCGUAAAGAGCUCGUAGGUGGUUUGUCGCGUUGUUCGUGAAAUUCCCUGGCUUAACUGGGGGCGUGCGGGCGAUACGGGCAGACUGGAGUACUGCAGGGGAGACUGGAAUUCCUGGUGUAGCGGUGGAAUGCGCAGAUAUCAGGAGGAACACCGGUGGCGAAGGCGGGUCUCUGGGCAGUAACUGACGCUGAGGAGCGAAAGCGUGGGGAGCGAACAGGAUUAGAUACCCUGGUAGUCCACGCCGUAAACGGUGGGUACUAGGUGUGGGUUUCCUUCCUUGGGAUCCGUGCCGUAGCUAACGCAUUAAGUACCCCGCCUGGG